AUUGAACGCUGGCGGCAUGCCUUACACAUGCAAGUCGAACGGCAGCGGGGGAGAAGCUUGCUUUUCCUGCCGGCGAGUGGCGAACGGGUGAGUAAUACAUCGGAACGUGCCCUGUAGUGGGGGAUAACUAGUCGAAAGAUUAGCUAAUACCGCAUACGACCUGAGGGUGAAAGUGGGGGACCGCAAGGCCUCAUGCUAUAGGAGCGGCCGAUGUCUGAUUAGCUAGUUGGUGGGGUAAAGGCCUACCAAGGCGACGAUCAGUGGCUGGUCUGAGAGGACGAUCAGCCACACUGGGACUGAGACACGGCCCAGACUCCUACGGGAGGCAGCAGUGGGGAAUUUUGGACAAUGGGCGAAAGCCUGAUCCAGCAAUGCCGCGUGUGCGAAGAAGGCCUUCGGGUUGUAAAGCACUUUUGUCCGGAAAGAAAUGGCUCUGGUUAAUACCUGGGGUCGAUGACGGUACCGGAAGAAUAAGGACCGGCUAACUACGUGCCAGCCGCCGCGGUAA
rnacentral:rRNA from 1 species